rnacentral:rRNA from 1 species
CAGAGUUUGAUCAUGGCUCAGGAUGAACGCUGGCGGCGUGCUUAACACAUGCAAGUCGAACGAAGCACUUUAACGGAUCUUUUUCGGAAGUGAAGAUAUUGUGACUGAGUNGCGGACGGGUGAGUAACGCGUGGGUAACCUGCCUCAUACAGGGGGAUAACAGCUGGAAACGGCUGCUAAUACCGCAUAAGCGCACAGUACCGCAUGGUACGGUGUGAAAAACUCCGGUGGUAUGGGAUGGACCCGCGUCUGAUUAGCUUGUUGGUGAGGUAACGGCCCACCAAGGCGACGAUCAGUAGCCGACCUGAGAGGGUGACCGGCCACAUUGGGACUGAGACACGGCCCAAACUCCUACGGGAGGCAGCAGUGGGGAAUAUUGCACAAUGGAGGAAACCCUGAUGCAGCGACGCCGCGUGAGCGAAGAAGUAUUUCGGUAUGUAAAGCUCUAUCAGCAGGGAAGAAGAAUGACGGUACCUG